rnacentral:rRNA from 1 species
GGAAGAGGUAAGUGGAAUUUCUAGUGUAGGGGUAAAAUCCGUAGAUAUUAGAAGGAAUACCAAUGGCGAAGGCAACUUACUGGGACAUUACUGACGCUGAGGCACGAAAGCGUGGGGAGCAAACAGGAUUAGAUACCCUGGUAGUCCACGCCCUAAACGAUGAACACUAGUUGUCGGAUGGCUCGAACAUUCGGUAAUGCACCAAACGGAUUAAGUGUUCCGCCUGGGGAGUACGGUCGCAAGAUUAAAACUCAAAGGAAUAGACGGGGACCCGCACAAGUGGUGGAGCAUGUGGUUUAAUUCGAAGAUACGCGAAGAACCUUACCUGGACUUGACAUCCCUAGAAUCCCGUAGAGAUAUGGGAGUGUCUGCUUGCAGAAAUUAGGUGACAGGUGCUGCACGGCUGUCGUCAGCUCGUGUCGUGAGAUGUUGGGUUAAGUCCCGCAACGAGCGCAACCCUCGUCAUUAGUUGCCAGCAGUUUGGCUGGGCACUCUAAUGAGACUGCCUUCGUAAGGAGGAGGAAGGUGAGGACGACGUCAAGUCAUCAUGGCCCUUAUGUCCAGGGCGACACACGUGCUACAAUGGGAAGGACAGAGUGUUGCGAUACCGCGAGGUGGAGCUAAUCACAAAACCUUUUCUCAGUUCGGAUUGUACUCUGCAACUCGAGUACAUGAAGUUGGAAUCACUAGUAAUCGUAGAUCAGCCAUGCUACGGUGAAUACGUUCCCGGGUCUUGUACUCACCGCCCGUCACACCAUGGGAAUUGGUUUCACCCGAAGAGGGGAUGCUAACUUUUAGAGGCUACCUUCCACGGUGGGGUCAGU